CUACGGGAGGCAGCAGUGGGGAAUAUUGGACAAUGGGGGCAACCCUGAUCCAGCAAUGCCGCGUGUGUGAAGAAGGUCUUCGGAUUGUAAAGCACUUUCACUAGGGAAGAUGAUGACGGUACCUAGAGAAGAAGCCCCGGCUAACUUCGUGCCAGCAGCCGCGGUAAUACGAAGGGGGCUAGCGUUGCUCGGAAUGACUGGGCGUAAAGGGCGCGUAGGCUGUUUGUACAGUCAGAUGUGAAAUCCCCGGGCUUAACCUGGGAACUGCAUUUGAUACGUGCAGACUANAGUCCGAGAGAGGGUUGUGGAAUUCCCAGUGUAGAGGUGAAAUUCGUAGAUAUUGGGAAGAACACCGGUUGCGAAGGCGGCAACCUGGCUCGGAACUGNCCCUGAGGCGCGAAAGCGUGGGGAGCGAACAGGAUUAGAUACCCUGGUAGUCCACGCUGUAAACGAUGUGUGCUGGAUGUUGGGUGAUUUUAUCAUUCAGUGUCGGAGCUAACGCGUUAAGCACACCGCCUGGGGAGUACGGCCGCAAGGUUGAAACUCAAAGGAAUUGACCGGGGGCCGCACAAGCGGUG
rnacentral:rRNA from 1 species